rnacentral:rRNA from 1 species
GAUGAACGCUGGCGGCGUGCCUAAUACAUGCAAGUCGAGCGAACAGACGAGGAGCUUGCUCCUUUGACGUUAGCGGCGGACGGGUGAGUAACACGUGGAUAACCUACCUAUAUGACUGGGAUAACUUCGGGAAACCGGAGCUAAUACCGGAUAAUAUAUUGAACCGCAUGGUUCAAUAGUGAAAGACGGUUUUGCUGUCACUUAUAGAUGGUUCCGCGCCGCAUUAGCUAGUUGGUAAGGUAACGGCUUACCAAGGCAACGAUGCGUAGCCGACCUGCGAGGGUGAUCGCCCGCACUGGAACUGGGACGCGGUCCAGACUCCUGCGAUAGGGAGCAGUAGGGAAUCUGCCGCAAUGGGCGAAAGCCUUACGGAGCAGCGCCGCGUGAGAUAUGAAGAUCUUCGGAUCGUGAAACUCUGUUAUUAGGGAAAAACAAAUGUGUAAGUAACUAUACACGUCUUGACGGUACCUGAUCAGGAAGCCACGGCUAACUACGUG